UGUACAGAUCUCGUGGACAACAGACAUGUUGGCUCUUGUUUGUCUUUCCUUUCUUGGUGUGUCACUUGGUGCCCCUACGUCCUGCAACUUGGCCUGUCACACAUCCUCGCCUGUGUGUGGAUCGGACGGCCAAACUUACAGCAGUUCCUGUCAGCUGGACAUCACCAACUGCAAGAAAGAGCAAUUAGGCCUCCCACACAUCCGCCUCUCUUAUGCCGGACCUUGUGGCAACAUCCUCGGCGGCUAUCAUGUCGCCACUUGUGACCAGAUCUGCGACGAGGAAAAAUCCCCUGUCUGCGCGUCUGACGGUGUUGUGUACGAAAAUAAAUGUCGCUUCACCCUGGCCCAGUGUGCUGCUUCCAAGAACGGCACCCGUCUCUCCAUUGUGUCGCACGCCACUUUCUGCCCCACGCCUUUGGAAGCUAACUGUGAGAAGUUUGCAGUAAACACAUCUGACAUCGCCAUGGGUGACCUCUCGGUGGUAGCAUCCAGACAUUCUGUCCCCUGAUGCAAAUGUCAAUUUGUACUAACCAUGGAACCUUCAGGGGUGAAUGCGAACUGUGCAGAUACAUCGACUCAUUCAUUGAGAAAGUCAAGAUCAACCCUUCACUUAAAGUUCCAGAUUUCAAGAUCCUCUACAGUGGCACAUGCCACUAUAUCGGAUAACCACAGUACUACCCUGGAGACCCCGUCGUCGCUAACCCCUCCUAAACUGAUGAAACUGUCAGAUAGUAAAAACUGAAACAAUAAAUAUAUGAACGUUCGAUAAUGAGUCAAAGUAAGUUUCUGUUAGUAUCACGUUAGCUGCAUCCCGUGAGGUGUACAUAAACCUGAAAAACGAACGUCAUCCCACAACUCCUUCAUCAGAGUGAC
rnacentral:misc_RNA from 1 species